rnacentral:rRNA from 1 species
UACGGAGGGUGCAAGCGUUAAUCGGAAUUACUGGGCGUAAAGCGCACGUAGGCGGUUCGUUAAGCCAGCUGUGAAAUCCCCGGGCUCAACCUGGGAAUUGCAGUUGGAACUGGCGAGCUAGAGUAUGGUAGAGGGGUGUGGAAUUUCAGGUGUAGCGGUGAAAUGCGUAGAUAUCUGAAGGAACACCAGUGGCGAAGGCGACACCCUGGACCAAUACUGACGCUGAGGUGCGAAAGCGUGGGGAGCAAACAGG